rnacentral:rRNA from 1 species
UACGUGGGGUGCAAGCGUUAUCCGGAAUUAUUGGGCGUAAAGAGCUCGUAGGCGGUUUGUCGCGUCUGCUGUGAAAACUGGAGGCUCAACCUCCAGCCUGCAGUGGGUACGGGCAGACUAGAGUGCGGUAGGGGAGAUUGGAAUUCCUGGUGUAGCGGUGGAAUGCGCAGAUAUCAGGAGGAACACCGAUGGCGAAGGCAGAUCGUCUGGGCCGAUGAACUGACGCUGAGGAGCGAAAAGCAUGGGGAGCGAACAGG